rnacentral:rRNA from 1 species
CGGUAAAACGUAGGUGGCAAGCGGUUGUCCGGAAUUACUGGGUGUAAAGGGAGCGCAGGCGGAGCUGCAAGUUGGGCGUCAAAUCUACGGGCUUAACCCGUAACCGCGCUCGAAACUGCGGCUCUUGAGUAGUGCAGAGGUAGGCGGAAUUCCCCGGUGUAGCGGUGGAAUGCGUAGAUAUCGGGAGGAGCACCAGUGGCGAAGGCGGCCUACUGGGCACCAACUGACGCUGAGGCUCGAAAGUAUGGGGUAGCAAAAC